rnacentral:rRNA from 1 species
UACGAAGGGGGCUAGCGUUGCUCGGAAUCACUGGGCGUAAAGCGCACGUAGGCGGCUUCUUAAGUCAGGGGUGAAAUCCUGGAGCUCAACUCCAGAACUGCCUUUGAUACUGAGGAGCUUGAGUCCGGGAGAGGUGAGUGGAACUGCGAGUGUAGAGGUGAAAUUCGUAGAUAUUCGCAAGAACACCAGUGGCGAAGGCGGCUCACUGGCCCAGUACUGACGCUGAGGUGCGAAAGCGUGGGGAGCAAACAGG